rnacentral:lncRNA from 1 species
AUUUUUCAGUUUUUUAUUUGUUAAAAAAGUUUGAAAUAUCCAAUACAUUUCGUUCCACUUCAUGAUUGUGUCCCACUUGUUGUUGAUUCUUCACAAAAAUUACAGUUUUAUAUCUUUAUGUUUGAAGCCUGAAAUGUGGCAAAAGGUCGAAAAGUUCAAGGGGGCUGAAUACUUUCGCAAGGCACUGUAUAUAGACAGACCACAACACAGAGUUGCAAUUUUCCAAUAAUGGAUGGACCAGGAAACGAACAGGGUCAACAGCCAAGAGGAGGAAGAAGAGGAGCAAGGAUGCAUGGUGGAAGGCAAAACAGAGGAAGAGGCAGAAGAGGACAUAGGCGCAUAUCUAAUGACAUAAGGGCCACUAUUGUAGACAAUGGUGUCAAUCAUGGCCUUACAAUGGCUGAGGCGGGUCGAAGGGUGCAGCCGAAUAUUGGGAGAUCAACCGUGUCCUCAAUAGUUCAAACGUUUCGAAGAGAGAACAGGACUGCAAGAUUACCUCAAACCGGUGGCAGAGGACGCCUUUUCACACCUCAACAGGAGGAGGCUAUUUACACCAUGGUCCGAGCAAACAAUGCCAUGAGACUCAGGGAAAUACAAAGGACCAUUAUAGAAGACAACGAUGUCUUUGAAAACAUCCAUACGGUUAGCAUCUCAACCAUCGACAGGGUGCUGCAUAGAAACCAGAUGAGUAUGAAACAGCUGUACCGUGUACCAUUCCAAAGGAAUGAGGACAGAGUUAAGGAGCUACGGUACCAGUAUGUACAGGUAAAACAUAUAUCUAUGUAACUACUUUACAGCAACAUUUUAUAGUGAUACAUAGUACAGUAAGCAUAAACUGCACACAUUUCCAUUGCUGUGGAAAGAACAUGCAAUAUAUACUGCUCAAAAAAAUAAAGGGAACACUUAAACAACACAUCCUAGAUCUGAAUGAAAGAAAUAAUCUUAUUAAAUACUUUUUUCUUUACAUAGUUGAAUGUGCUGACAACAAAAUCACAC